rnacentral:rRNA from 1 species
CACGUAGGGGGUGAGCGUUGUCCGGAUUCAUUGGGCGUAAAGGGCGCGCAGGCGGCCCGGAAAGUCGGAUGUGAAAACUCGAGGCUCAACCUCGAGCGUGCACCCGAUACUGCCGGGCUUGAGGCAGGUAGGGGAGAUCGGAAUUCCUGGUGUAGCGGUGAAAUGCGCAGAUAUCAGGAGGAACACCGGUGGCGAAGGCGGAUCUCUGGGCCUGUCCUGACGCUGAGGCGCGAAAGCUAGGGGAGCGAACAGG